GCCUUCGUGGUGUAAUGGUAGCACACUCGGCGCGUAUUUGAGAAGUCCAGGUUCGAGUCCCGGUGAGGGCA
rnacentral:tRNA from 1 species